AGUGAACGCUGGCGGUAGGCCUAACACAUGCAAGUCGAACGACAGCACAGUAAGAGCUUGCUCUUACGGGUGGCGAGUGGCGGACGGGUGAGAAAUACAUCGGAAUCUACUUUUUCGUGGGGGAUAACGUGGGGAAACUUACGCUAAUACCGCAUACGACCUACGGGUGAAAUCAGGGGAUCUUCGGACCUUUCGCGAUUGAAUGAGCCGAUGUCGGAUUAGCUAGUUGGCGGGGUAACGGCCCACCAAGGCGACGAUGCGUAGCUGGUCUGAGAGGAUGAUCGGCCACACUGGAACUGAGACACGGUCCAGACUCCUACGGGAGGCAGCAGUGGGGAAUAUUGGACAAUGGGCGCAAGCCUGAUGGAGCCAUACCGCGUGGGUGAAGAAGGCCUUCGGAUUGUAAAGCCCUUUUGUUGGGAAAGAAAAGCAGCAGGUUAAUCCCCCGCUGUUCUGACGGUACCCAAAGAAUAAGCACCGGCUAACUUCGUG
rnacentral:rRNA from 1 species